rnacentral:rRNA from 1 species
UACAGAGGUCCCGAGCGUUUGUUCGGAUUCAUUGGGCGUAAAGGGCUCGUAGGCGGUUGUCGCGUCGGGAGUGAAAACACCGGCUUAACUCGGUGCUUGCUUUCGAUACGGGCAGACUAGAGUAUGCAGGGAGAACGGAAUUCCUGGUGUAGCGGUGAAAUGCGCAGAUAUCAAGAGGAACACCAGUGGCGAAGGCGGGUCCCUGGACAACACCUGACACUGAGGCACGAAAGCUAGGGGAGACAAACAGG